rnacentral:rRNA from 1 species
CCUACGGGAGGCAGCAGUGAGGAAUAUUGGUCAAUGGACGAGAGUCUGAACCAGCCAAGUAGCGUGAAGGAUGACUGCCCUAUGGGUUGUAAACCUCUUUUGUCGGGGAGCAAAGCGAGUCACGUGUGACUCAUUGAGAGUACCCGAAGAAAAAGCAUCGGCUAACUCCGUGCCAGCAGCCGCGGUAAUACGGAGGAUCCGAGCGUUAUCCGGAUUUAUUGGGUUUAAAGGGAGCGUAGAUGGGUUGUUAAGUCAGUUGUGAAAGUUUGCGGCUCAACCGUAAAAUUGCAAUUGAUACUGGCAGUCUUGAGUACAGUUGAGGUAGGCGGAAUUCGUGGUGUAGCGGUGAAAUGCUUAGAUAUCACGAAGAACCCCGAUUGCGAAGGCAGCUUACUAAACUGUGACUGACAUUGAUGCUCGAAAGUGUGGGUAUCAAACAGGAUUAGAUACCCUUGUAGUC